AUAUAAAUGUAAAUGUUAAAUGUAAAUGUAAAUCUAAAUGUUCCGCCUAAAUGUUAAAUAUAAAUGUUGACUUUAAAUGUUUGGGAAAUAUGCUAAUGAGGCCACGCCCCUCACCGAAUAGAGCGGUCCUUGUUCAGACGAAAGUUGAACCUUAAUCAUGGCAAACUCUUUGAGACCUGAGGAUAUUGAAAGGGCCGUUGUUUCAGGAGUGCGAGCUGCAUUGCAAGGUGUCCUGGCACCUACACCUGCUGCUGCAAAUCUGGUUAACACAUCAUCACCAUCCACAAGUUCUGCCGCUUCACACAGACCGGUCAACACUCUGCCGCCGCCCAUAGCAUUCACAAGUUCAGCCACAUCUGCAGGGGCUGGCACAUCCCAGAGAUUGGCAAGAACUGAAUGACUUAUUUACUUUUAAUGAGUAGAAUUACCAUCAACUUUGUUGUGAAAGUGUACCUUUUAAGAUGUUUUUUUAUUUGUUCGCUGAAUAGAUUAUUUUUUGUUACCGAAUAUAUAUUCCUGUUUAUAUGAGUUCUGGGUAACGCUUUCUUUUACAGUACAGUA